AUUCCUCCGGGCGGGGCUGGAAGGCCCGCGCCCACCUCCGCCCGGCAGCAUCAAAGUGGGAAACCGAGGCUGGGACUAGGAACCUCCCGCGUGCUCCUGCUAACAAGUAGAACCAAUCUCUGCCCUGCCGGAGCUUCUGUACUGGAGGAGACAGACAUAUGACAAAUCAAUUCAUACGUGGCUGAGGCUGGGACAGAGGAGCUGAGAGAAGGCCAGCGGAGCAACGGGGUGGGGAGGCGGAGAGAGAGCAUCCGGAGGCGGAGGCGGGAGGCCACGGAACCCAGCAGUGGGCACCCUCAUGUGGGUGAUGAACAUUCACCUAAGUCUGGAGCCACAGGAGCUGGAGCUGGAAGGGGCGCUGCCCUGGGGAGCUGCGGCCUUCAGCACAAUCCAGUGGAACCUGUCCUCUUGCAGCCUGCGGGGAGGGAGCUGCGGAAAUAAAUAUUACCCCAGUCUCCUCCUGUCCAGCUGGGCCCCCCAGGGGCCGAACCCCAAAGGAAGCCCAAGGGCAGGGAGGCUGGGGAGGGAACAGAGCAGGCAAGGUGAGCCUCGGGGCAUGAGGCAGGGCGGACAAGGAUGCAGAGUGGAUCCGCAGGGCUACUGCGACAGUCCAGCACAGGUAGUGUCCAUGGCCUGUCCACCUUUUCUCUCCGCAUCUCCUGUGUCACCACACCCAGCCACCCCAUCUUCCUAGAAUCGACCACACGCCUCCUAGAUGUAAGUUCUCCUGCAAGUCCAAGGAGACCAUGACCUCUGUGGUCAGUCCAGAUCACUUCUGUUGCCUAACGGGUCUCCCCACUGCCAUUUCUGCCUGGUCCUGUCCCUCCUCCACCUGGUGCCAGAGUCACCUCUUAAAACCUAAUUCCAGGGCUUCCCUGGUGGCUCAGUGGUUAAGAAUCCACCUGCCAACGCAGGGGACA